GACGAACGCUGGCGGCGUGCCUAAUACAUGCAAGUCGAGCGAGCUUGCCUAGAUGAUUUUAGUGCUUGCACUAAAUGAAACUAGAUACAAGCGAGCGGCGGACGGGUGAGUAACACGUGGGUAACCUGCCCAAGAGACUGGGAUAACACCUGGAAACAGAUGCUGAUACCGGAUAACAACACUAGACGCAUGUCUAGAGUUUGAAAGAUGGUUCUGCUAUCACUCUUGGAUGGACCUGCGGUGCAUUAGCUAGUUGGUAAGGUAACGGCUUACCAAGGCAAUGAUGCAUAGCCGAGUUGAGAGACUGAUCGGCCACAUUGGGACUGAGACACGGCCCAAACUCCUACGGGAGGCAGCAGUAGGGAAUCUUCCACAAUGGACGAAAGUCUGAUGGAGCAACGCCGCGUGAGUGAAGAAGGGUUUCGGCUCGUAAAGCUCUGUUGGUAGUGAAGAAAGAUAGAGGUAGUAACUGGCCUUUAUUUGACGGUAAUUACUUAGAAAGUCACGGCUAACUACGUGCCAGCAGCCGCGGUAAUACGUAGGUGGCAAGCGUUGUCCGGAUUUAUUGGGCGUAAAGCGAGUGCAGGCGGUUCAAUAAGUCUGAUGUGAAAGCCUUCGGCUCAACCGGAGAAUUGCAUCAGAAACUGUUGAACUUGAGUGCAGAAGAGGAGAGUGGAACUCCAUGUGUAGCGGUGGAAUGCGUAGAUAUAUGGAAGAACACCAGUGGCGAAGGCGGCUCUCUGGUCUGCAACUGACGCUGAGGCUCGAAAGCA
rnacentral:rRNA from 1 species